AUUGAACGCUGGCGGCAUGCCUUACACAUGCAAGUCGAACGGUAACAGGUCUUCGGAUGCUGACGAGUGGCGAACGGGUGAGUAAUACAUCGGAACGUGCCUAGUAGUGGGGGAUAACUACUCGAAAGAGUGGCUAAUACCGCAUGAGAUCUACAGAUGAAAGCAGGGGAUCGCAAGACCUUGUGCUACUAGAGCGGCCGAUCGGCAGAUUAGGUAGUUGGUGGAUAAAAGCUUACCAAGCCGACGAUCUGUAGCUGGUCUGAGAGGUCGAUCAGCCACACUGGGACUGAGACACGGCCCAGGCUCCUACGGGAGGCAGCAGUGGGAAAUUUUGGACAAUGGGCGCAAGCCUGAUCCAGCAAUGCCGCGUGCAGGAUGAAGGCCUUCGGGUUGUAAACUGCUUUUGUACGGAACGAAAAGCCCUGGGUUAAUACCCUGGGGUCAUGACGGUACCGUAAGAAUAAGCACCGGCUAACUACGUGCCAGCCGCCGCGGUAAAAC
rnacentral:rRNA from 1 species